rnacentral:rRNA from 1 species
CCUACGGGGCGCAGCAGUAGGGAAUCUUCCACAAUGGACGAAAGUCUGAUGGAGCAACGCCGCGUGAGUGAAGAAGGGUUUCGGCUCGUAAAGCUCUGUUGGUAGUGAGGAAAGAUAGAGGUAGUAACUGGCCUUUAUUUGACGGUAAUUACUUAGAAAGUCACGGCUAACUACGUGCCAGCAGCCGCGGUAAUACGUAGGUGGCAAGCGUUGUCCGGAUUUAUUGGGCGUAAAGCGAGUGCAGGCGGGACAAUAAGUCUGAUGUGAAAGGCUUCGGGUCAACCGGGGAAAUGCAUCAGAAACUG